UGGGGAAUAUUGGACAAUGGGCGAAAGCCUGAUCCAGCCAUGCCGCGUGAGUGAUGAAGGCCCUAGGGUUGUAAAGCUCUUUUGUGCGGGAAGAUAAUGACGGUACCGCAAGAAUAAGCCCCGGCUAACUUCGUGCCAGCAGCCGCGGUAAUACGAAGGGGGCUAGCGUUGCUCGGAAUCACUGGGCGUAAAGGGUGCGUAGGCGGGUUUCUAAGUCAGAGGUGAAAACCUGGAGCUCAACUCCAGAACUGCCUUUGAUACUGGAAGUCUUGAGUUCGGGAGAGGUUAGUGGAACUGCUAGUGUAGAGGUGAAAUUCGUAGAUAUUCGCAAGAACACCAGUGGCGAAGGCGGCUCACUGGCCCGAUACUGACGCUGAGGCACGGAAGCGUGGGGAGCAAACA
rnacentral:rRNA from 1 species